rnacentral:pre_miRNA from 1 species
CUGAUUUUUGGCCUUCUCUUCCUAGUUCUUUCUGGAGUUGGGAAAAAUUGGGUUGAGAGGGCGAAAAAAAAAAAAC